rnacentral:rRNA from 1 species
GACAGAGGGGGCAAGCGUUGUCCGGAAUUACUGGGCGUACAGCGCACGCAGGUGGCUUGUUAAGUGUGGUGUGAAAGCCCCGCGCUCAACGCGGGGAGGCCUCCGCAGACUGGCAGGCUAGAGGGGUGCAGAGGGUCGUGGAAUAGCCGGUGUAGUGGUGAAAUGCGUAGAGAUCGGCAGGAACACCAAGGGCGAAGGCAGCGACCUGGGCAGACCCUGACACUCAGGUGCGACAGCGUGGGGAGCGAACCGG